rnacentral:rRNA from 1 species
UACGUAGGGUGCAAGCGUUAAUCGGAAUUACUGGGCGUAAAGCGCACGUAGGCGGAUUGCUAAGUCAGGGGUGAAAUCCUGGAGCUCAACUCCAGAACUGCCUUUGAUACUGGCGACCUUGAGUCCGGGAGAGGUGAGUGGAACUGCGAGUGUAGAGGUGAAAUUCGUAGAUAUUCGCAAGAACACCAGUGGCGAAGGCGGCUCACUGGCCCGGUACUGACGCUGAGGUGCGAAAGCGUGGGGAGCAAACAGG